CAUAGCGGAGGAAAGAAACUAACAAGGAUUCCCCUAGUAACGGCGAGUGAAGAGGGAAAAGCUCAAAUUUAAAAUCUGGUGGCCUACGGUCAUCCGAAUUGUAAUCUAGAGAAGUGUUUUCCGUGCUGGACCGUGUACAAGUCCUUUGGAACAAGGCGUCAUAGAGGGUGAGAAUCCCGUCUACGACACGGACUACCAGYGCUUUGUGAUACACUCUCAACGAGUCGAGUUGUUUGGGAAUGCAGCUCAAAAUGGGUGGUAAAUUCCAUCUAAAGCUAAAUACGGGCGAAAGACCGAUAGCGAACAAGUACCGUGAGGGAAAGAUGAAAAGCACUUUGGAAAGAGAGUUAAACAGUACGUGAAAUUGUUGAAAGGGAAACGCUUGAAGUCAGUCGCGUCUUCAGAAAUUCAGCCUUGCUUCUGCUUGGUGCACUUUUCUGUUGGACGGGCCAGCAUCAGUUUUGACCGCCAGAAAAAGGUGAGAGGAAGGUGGCACCUCCGGGUGUGUUAUAGCCUCUCAUCGUAUGUGGCGGUUGGGACUGAGGAUCGCAGCAUGCCUUUAUGGUCGGGGUUCGCCCACGUAACGUGCUUAGGAUGCUGGCGUAAUGGCUUUAAGCGACCCGUCUUGAAACACGGACCAAGGAGUCUAACAUGCC
rnacentral:rRNA from 1 species